GGAAAAAAGAAAAAAUCAGCGGCCAAACGCGGAAGAUUAUCAGGAUUAACUGCGACGGAUCUUCGGCAAUACCAGAUUGGUACGAAUACUGCCGACGAAGAACCAUUUUUGGACCGCCAGCCCCUCCUUCCCAAAAGCAGCAAUAGUACCCGUAUAAGAUACUAGGUUCUGGCGGACUUUGCCAGCAAGCACCGUUUAUGGGAUCAAGCUGGGAGCUCAUGAGUAGUAAGGACAAAAAAGAGGAUGUGUUUUCAGCGUCGAGAGGUUAGCAGAAAAAAAACCGACGGAACAGAAACCGCGAAAAGUAAGGAGUUGUCCGCUAGAAGUGUUCAUCAGUAUCUUGACCGGGAGAAGAAUGCAAAACAUCAGUAAAACAGGCGACGAUAUUAU